rnacentral:lncRNA from 1 species
CUGUGAACCUCCUUUAUGCGAUCAGCGGAUCUGCAGAUACCGCUACAUGUCCAGUCAAAUGAAGCAACACAUAUGUUCCCUGCUUGUGCCUUCCAUUCACAAUCUGCAAUUCCCUCUCAAGAAUAAGAUUCAAAUGUUACAAUGAGGUAAAGGUUUAGUGUCACUACAGAUUUUUGAUAGUCUUUUGGUCUCCUUUUAGCAUUACUUAAAGGAAACAUUCUAGUUAAGUGCAUUGAGCUAGCUUUUCACUACUCUACAAUCAUCUAAAACGUAUUGAACUGAGUGUAGAAACCAAGAAGGUACCAGGAGGAGUGCCGCAACAUAGUCUUCUGUCAUCGAUAUGGGUGACAUCAAGACCGAUAAACCAAGCACCCAAUGUAACAUCCUCAUUUGCAUAUUUGUGCAGAACAUGCCUGGAGAAGCAUUAUAUUAACACCAAUGAGUUAAAAUGAGGUACAAAAUACAAGACACACAAAAGAGAAGUUCCAAGUCUUACUGAUUAAUGGAAAUAUAAGAAGCCAAGUCUCUUGAAAUGGCGUAUAGCUGUCCAGUAGCGUGACGGAAGUACUUGUUCCCGUUCUCACCAAACUUCCAAUACUCUGGCUCGUGGUAUCUAACUCCUCUGCUCCAUAGACAUAUACAAAGGUCAGUUAAACCAAAACUGAGAAACUGAUUCAAGAAGAAGGAGGCUGAGAGAAGUUGGAUAUUUACUUUUGAGAUAGUACUGGACCAGACUUCAUGCAGCCGAUAUAGACUCGAGGUUUUUUCCUGUGUCUAACAAGAGUUUCUCCAAGAGUUGCUGUUGAUAUUCCAACAAAAAAAAACUUAUUAAAAUGGGGAAACUGCUGACUGAAUCUUUAACAUUUUUUUCUGCUAGAAGGUUUUUGUAGAGCUUACCGAUAUUUACAUGAACAUCAUCAUCUACUUUGAUAUAGAAAUCUGCAUCCCACAUUGAGAAGGCUGUAGAAAAAUAUGUUUUUGUUUUGCCUGAUAACUCUAAGUAUCCUUCAACAUGGUCCUGUUAAAAGCAUCAGGAAUAUCACAAAUGAAGAUAAGAAUAACAGCUUUGGCCAUCAAAAACUCAUGUUAAUUUAAGAAAAGAGAAAAAUACCAAUCUCAUGAAAUCUCCAUGCUUCUUGUCCUCUGCUUCAAUGGAUCGGUCUAGGAUUCCCCCAGCUGUGGCACUAAAGAAGCAAAUAACAAACAACACUGGAUAUAAGGAAACUCAUCUCAGAAACUAAGAAAGAACAUAGUGAUUGAUUACAUAUCUGACAUUUAUACUAAAAUGUUUAAAACUCUUACCUAUGACCAAUCACAAACCGGAUAAUAAUUCCCUUUUCUUCCUCCAAUUUCUUUCUUUUUUCACCUAAACAACCAUCAAGUAACAUAUUUGAUAUGAGCAAGUUGAAAGAUAAAAAGGGAAGCUAGAAAGUGAGUGGUGUUGCCGUGUUGGAACCUUGAGGCAUCCAAGUAGUUCGAAUAGAAUCUCUUCUCUUUCGGCUACUAAAAGCAGUGUUAAUCCCCACAACCAUCAAAUAUCUUCUUUUCUUCCCUGGUGAUUGGUUCUUCUCCACAUCAUUAGAAACAGGAGCACCGUUCGUUAAAGACUCCUGAGCUGAUCUAGCUGCGGCUAACUCCAUCUCUAAGCUUGAAAUGGUCUUGUCCAAUGUCCUGUAAAUGAAACAAAAGAAAAAAAGUUUUUAAAACACAGAGACAAUUAAGUCUUGUAAGAAUCUGUAAUUUGAUUACUAAUAUAUUUUUUAAUCUUACUGUAUAGCGUUAUGAGUCUUGGAGACUUCUCCAAACAAAACCUGGGGGUCGCGUUUUACUUCUUUCUGGUAAAGCUAAAAAGGAUUAAAACCAAUCAGGUCAUUUUUAAGAAGUCUUCUAACUAACUGAACCAAAAGGAACACAUGACCUGACAUGACACUUACUGUUUUAGGACCACAGCCUUCGGAGAUAAGCUUCAAUCUUUCAGCUUCUGUCACGGAUGGUCGAGCCAUGUCGUUAGACUCUGGAAUAUUCCACAUCCUGUAAAAAUUCACACCAAAAUGUUUUGAGACAAAAAGAUUUGAUAUAAUCUCAUGUUAGCUUAAACCAGAGUUAUUAAACCAUAAUCAUAUAAAGAGAUCAGAGUUUGAAUUUUUUCCAUAUCAAGAAACUUCAAAUCCGUAGACUAAGGUAUGAAUUACGUAACGUUAUGUUCAAAGAAAUAGACUAGAACUGGCUUAUAAUCGCUUCUUAAGACUUAUGGAUUGAUUUGAAACUAUGAGAAACAGAGUAUAAUACAGAUUUAAAAAUAAAAGAACUUGAAAAUUCAAAAAAAAUUAAAGUAAUAAUACCUAUCGGUGAAAAAUAUCCCGAAGCAGAAACUUGCAAAACAGAGUAGAAACGUCCAUUUUCUUGAUACGAAGCUUCUAGAGUAAAGAUUCUCUCCUUUGAUCUUUGGAGACAUUGUUUUUUUUUCCUUCAACAAGACCAGAAGAAGAAGAAGAAGA